rnacentral:rRNA from 1 species
GACGAACGCUGGCGGCGUGCUUAACACAUGCAAGUCGAACGAGAGCGUAGAGAAAGCUUGCUUUUUCUACAAUCUAGUGGCAAACGGGUGAGUAACGCGUAAACAACCUGCCCUACGGAUGGGUACAACAGCUGGAAACGGCUGCUAAUACCGAAUACGUUCCGAAAGUCGCAUGACUAUCGGAAUAACGGAUUGCCUCUAUUUAUAAGCUAUCUCCGGAUGAGGGGUUUGCGUCUGAUUAGCUAGUUGGAGGGGUAACGGCCCACCAAGGCGACGAUCAGUAGCCGGUCUGAGAUGAUGAACGGCCACAUUGGGACUGAGACACGGUCCAGACUCCUACGGGAGGCAGCAGGGCGGAAUCUGCCGGAAGGGGCGAAAGCCUGAGGGAGAAACGCCGCGUGAGUAAAGACGGCCGUCGGGUUGUAAAGGUCUGUUAUACGGGACGAAUAAUCUUGUGGUUAAUACCAAGGGGAAGUGACGGUACCGGAAGAGAAAGCAACGGCUAACUACGUG